UUUCCGUAGGUGAACCUGCGGAAGGAUCAUUACUGAGUGAGGGCCCUCUGGGUCCAACCUCCCACCCGUGUUUAUUAUACCUUGUUGCUUCGGUGAGCCCGCCUCACGGCCGCCGGGGGGCAUCUGCCCCCGGGCCCGCGCCCACCGAAGACACCUAGAACUCUGUAUGAAGAUUGCAGUCUGAGCAAAAACUAAAUAAGUUAAAACUUUCAACAACGGAUCUCUUGGUUCCG
rnacentral:misc_RNA from 1 species